AUACAGCAAAGCCACCACAGGUUCUGGUGGUAAAUCCCAGUCUUUGGUUCCAGCCAUCUUUCCUCUCCUGUGACAAUCCUCAGGUGAGUCCCAAACAAACAGCAUGCCCACUGCCAAAAACUACCAGCAGCACUGUCCUGAGCUGAUGUUAGUAGCUGAGCUCUCACUACACCAGUCAACAGGAUUAAUUAACGGCUCUUCGCUAUCCUGGUUGGACUGCUGAUGUACAGAAGUUCAGCAGUUCCAGUUGGCUUGUUAACGGUUAUGAAAUCUCAACUUGGUAACAGAAAAGGCUCAAUUACAAUGUUGAUGAAUAAGUUUAAGUCACACUUCAGUGUUCACUUGCUUCAUUCCCCUCCUUUCUAAAUAAAGCAGAAUCUCUUGUAAAUCAGCAUGCCUUAUUGUAUACAUUUCAUGCAUUUUAAAUUCAUAUUCAUUGCAAGUGUUGUAUAGAGAAGGUAUUUCUGGAUUUUGUACAGCCACUUCACCCUAAGAUCACAAAAUGUAUUACUGUAUCAUGGAAGAGAAAAAAAAAAAAUCUUAAAAAAAUCUGAAAUUCCUGUGAAAAAAUUUGUGAACAGUUGGUAGGUUUUAUUCUUCCACAAAGCCUGAUCUGAAAAUGAUUCAAGCCACUCCAUCUGUGAGAGGAGUAUUGCUGCAGACGUGUUUGAUUGUGAUCUGAUGAAGACCAGAAAGAAUGGGACCAGAAGGUCUACCCAAGAAACCCUUCCCCAGUGUCAGCUCUCUCCUGCGCUCACAGGUAGCAGGGGUGGCAGCCCCAGCCCCCUUUGGAUUAAAAGCUCAUUCCAAGCAGAUUCCCAAAGCACACACUUCUGUCCACACUGGCAGUUUGCAUUUGGAAAAAAACAUUCUUAGCUUUGGAAAGGCAGUCAGGUUGGACAUCAAAUACUACAUUAAUUAUCCCAACAGUAUGUAAAUAAGACAAUUUUCAUCUGCAAUUUUACUGUUGUGGUCUGGAAAAGGCUUUCAGUUAUUUGAUCUAUUACAAACAAGUAGCCAGCGUCUAUUUAUUUUUCCUCAAUCCCAAUACAGACUUAAUUAAAAUUUAUGUUAUUAUUCCAUGAACUGUGUCCUCUUACCUAGGUGGUACAUAACACCAUGGGGACUGUGACUGCAUGAUACAGUGGAAAUGAAGGAAAAAUAAAAAAAUACAAGGGGUUUUAGGUGUUAAUGCAUUUUUGCCUUAUUAACAGUUAAUUAGGUGGUUUUAAAAGAUCAGGAAGUGUAAAACAGGCAAUUGAGAAGAAAAGAAAUAUACAAGCAAGAAGAAAAGCUCCCUACACAAAAACACAAUAAUGAAAACAGGGUUUCAGAAGGGAAGUAAAGGUAAAAGAACUGUAUAAAAGGCAAACAUACAAGUGUCAGAUAAUAGAAUGGCAAUCAGCCAACAGUUUAAAGAUGAAAGUCUUGCAUUAAAAGGAAGAAGAUUUAAAUAUAUAUAUAUAUAUAUAUAUAUACUGGCUUCCCAGCCCUCUGGCUUCCCAUUGACCCUGCUCCAAGACUCCCCUGGCUGGAUAUAGCUCAGCUGGGCUAUUUCCAUAAAACAUGUAGGCAGAACUGGGGUCCAACCUAAUAAACUAAGUAAGCAAGAAAUUCUGUGUUAUACACUGCAGCUAGUCUAGAUCCAUGAGGAAUUGAGAGCAAAUAUGAUCAAGACUACUGUAUUCCUCAUGGUCUGAUAAUGCAACUCUGCAACUGUAUUUCACAUUCAAACGUACUGUCCACGUUAGAAAGGUCAGGUUGUUGUGAAUCACUGAAUUCCUGAACAGGCACUCUGGAGAGGUGCAGGAAAUUUUUCACUUUGUCAUUUUCACAUUUUGACUGCCAAAUCAUAAUGUUUAAAUGCUUUGUGAGUGAAAGGAUUUUUUUUUUAUGAUGAUGAUACUGAUAACUACUAUGAGAAAUGAUAUCUCAAAAGCCUGAAGCAACACACUAGAUUUAAAGAUUAUCUUAUGCUUAGAAGUUGUUUAACAAAAUGCAAAGUGGUCACGAACAUAUUGUAACUAAAUUUUUACUGGAACUCACUAUAAUUAGCACAUUAUUCCUUAGUGUAUAAUCAAAGCACAGAAGGAAAAAAAAAAAAAAAAAAUGAAAACACAUAAAGCAUCAGUCCUUCUGGAUCAACACCAACUAAUAUGAGAUUCUUCACAAGUGUAUGGCAACUGACAGACCAUGUUCUGGUUUUUGUAUUGUACUCCCUGACUCAAAUUCAGAUUGCACCUCUCUGUCAAGGCUUUUGAAGGUAAUUAGCAGUAAGGAAAUAAAGGUCUUCAAAGUCUGUGUCUAUGAUCAGUCUAUUCCAGCUAAACGUAAUACCUAGCAAACAGAGGACUCCUCCUCUUCCUUCCAGUCUUUUUCCUCCUUCCUGCCCUCUUCUCCCACUCAGAGACCUCCAAGCCAGCCUCUGAAGUCUGUGGGUCCAUCAAAAAAAUCACAGCUCAUGUGAGACUGCAAUCCUUUAUGCAAUGUUUCACAGCUAAAGAAUUGCAUUUGCCCUAGCUGCCUGGUGAGAGAGGCUGCUUUUUGUCCCGUUCUGUAGAUUCUGGAUCACUUCUUAGUUUUGUUAAGCCAAAGGUCUCAUUACCUUUAAGCAAUACUGCUGCCAUUUACUGUAACCCUCUGAUAAACUGGGUGACUUGUCCAAAUGUUUUGUGACAGCCCUCAGCCUCAAAUCCACAGUUUUUAUGCAAACCCCUGUCAAUCUACCUCCCAUGCAUGAAAGAGUUAACACAAAAGAUCUUCACUAGUGCUUAAUUGCAAUCAACGGAAGGCUGCUAGCAGAAACAGAAGAGUACAGAUGUUGAAUUUUAAGUCUCUUUGGGAGCAACUCGCUUUUAUGCGAUGUGGAAGAUUGGUAAAGUGAUUUCAACAGUCUACAUGUGCAAGGCCCUGAGGUAAUAUGAUAAUGCAUUGUUUCCAUUUCCAAAGGAUGUAACUAUCUUGAGAAAAAAAAUAAUUAAAAAAAAUGUAAAGGGAGGAGAUGUUCUCCUUAUUAAAAGGGUGGGUUGCAUACCUUAUCUGCCUCUGUAUGACACUGCUGACAUCAACAGUGAAGGCAUGACUACAGUUCUGGUGUUUUGGUGUGUUGUGUUGUUGUUUUUUUUUUUCCUUCUCCAUUAGUUUUAUAAGACUGGCAAGGAUUUACAUGAAAGGCUGUUGAUCACCUAAGGCAAAUAGCAUGAUCAAAUAGAUUACAUUAAAAGCAACCAGCCUCAACAAGCAGCACACAGAACGCAGAUUCUAUGACUGACAUAGCCCACUGUACCUGAGCACUGUAAAUCAUCACAGGCUUCCUUCACAGUGCCAGACAUCCUCAGAUCAUCGCAAGAACACCGUGCUGCUGUAAUUCAGACACUGAUCUCAGUUGCUGCUGCAGGAGAAACCCUCCAGAGAUGAUCCAGUACUGGACUUCUACGCCACUGUCAGAGAUGAUCUCUAUUAGGUAAGCAAUUAGAAUAAAGUAACUGACACACCCUGUCCAGGGUAGGAUAGCAGGAUGUUGGCAGAAUUGUAUUAACUAACUUGUUGGUUUUAUCUGACUGCAAAUUAUGGUAUUGAGACUUGAGUACAUAGUGUUCAUUGCAUGUGAAAACCUUAAGAGUAUACUAGCUAACCUAUUCUAUCACUGUCUUAGGUUAGAUGUGUCUCUAACAUUUAAAACAGUGUAUAUUAAUUAUCAACUGGUUCAGCUGAAGUGAAUUCCAAAAGGAACACAGCUGUUCCCCAGACCUGCUUUUUGGUCAUCCUUUGUCCAAAAGCGAGGUCUCAAAGUCCUUUUGCCUCAUCUAAGUAAUGGAAGGCAUACAGGUAUUCCUUAAUAAAGCAGGAUGAGAAGGAAAAAUCUAAAUGCUAGAUAAUCUGUUAAUCUCAGACACUGCAAGGUCUUACAGUAAAAACUGUACUAAGAUGCACAGAGUAGAAUGUUUACAAACCACACAUAGGCCACUUUCCUCCUGAAGGGCCACAGCAGACAGACCCAGAAGUCCUCUUUAUCCCUCUGCAGCAACAGAAAGGUGAAUUUUAUUUCCUUCACUGUGAUAUACCGUUACACUAAAUUUGACCAAAGUUGCUAUUUGUUUUGCCAAUAUCACAUUGUUAAAAUUAUUUUAUAAACCAGUAUGUUUAUUUAUUACACAGACAUUGCCUAUGCACCUAAUCGAUCUAGUUGCUUAAGUACAUUUGUUCCACCCAAUCUGUCCUCACACCGCAAUACACAGGUAACAAGCAAUGGGCACAGCAGUUAGUGGGUUUUCAUCUGUUAGCUUUAGGAGAGAAAGAUAAUGAGUAACUGAGAUAAAUAGUAUUAUUCACUACAUUUAAAAUAAAACAAGCAAAAAAAAACCCUAAAAACAUAAAACAAAAAAUGUGAAUUCAUGUAUUAUUUAAGUAAUCAAAGUUACCAUUACCAUAGUGCUGUUAUAAAGAUGGAAAUGUUAAGAAAGACUUUCUUCGUAUUGCUGCAAGAAUCCCAGCUGCUGAGCAUUUACAGCUGCCCUGUAAAAUUGGGGUGGAGAAAUUCCCUGCUGCAAUAAAAAUGUCCAUACACCAAUAAACAAGAGACACAUCAGUUCUUUCAAAGUAAAAAAAUAAGAGAUACCAUUAGGCCCAGCCUUUCAUCCUCAGUGUGUCUGAAGGACUUAGAAGACAUUUUGCUGCCUAAAUCUAAUUAGCAGCAUUAACACAUUAGUACCUUCAGCAUGUCUGAAGUGAGGCAUAACCUCUAAUUUAUUUACUUACUUAUUUUGUGAAAUAACAUUUCUGCUAGCACUGUUCAGAAAUGCAAAAAGAACACACUACAAAGGGAAGAACUACAGAAUGUUCAGUGGUGAAGAAGUUAAAUCAGCUGUAAAAAGCAGUCAAUCACACAAUUCAACAAUAAAACAGUUUUGAAAGGUACAAAAACUACUAUCUAAGCAUAGCUGGAAAAUUGAGCAUUACAGGGUCUUACUGGCAGGGAUGAUAAGUGUGACUAGGUCCUUUUCAGUCUGAUGAGGGUUCUGCUUCUCUUUUUUUUUUUUUCUCUUUUAUGGAGUUCUUAUGACCAUGAACUAAUACUUAUUGCCUCCACUUUCUUUUCACAGAAAAACAGCUCUGCAUGCAUAACACUGUGCGGCACCCAUCACAAUAUCCUUGACUGCUCUCCUUUGGAAAAACCCUGCCUGUUUCCUAAUGCCUGGUUCAGAAUGAACACAAAAUACUUCUUUUGUGAGCACCUCAAAAACAGGUGGUUUUCCUUGUUUUAAUUUGUCUAUGAAUGACUGGUGCUUGGAGAGUGGAUAUACGUAAGAGAUCUCUGAGCAGAAAGCAGUGUAGAAAGAUGUUAGGCACAAAAGAAGAUUCAAGAAAGAGUCUGUAAUCGACCCUCUGAGCUGGCCUCUCAUUUUUCUCAGAUCAUCUUCAGGCAAGCUUUGGCAUUUUGUAGAACUACCUCACUUAAAAACACUUCUCUGUGUCAGUAUAGCUGAGCAUGAAAUGAGCUGGAACAAUAUUCAAAUGUACUCACCUGCUUUUUCCCCGCAGGAUUCUUCGCACUCGAAUUCCCUCAGACUUAGGAAAGAGUUACAAAGAGUCAUCAAUACCACCUAACUUCAGAUAUCUAAUUUACAGGCCUAAAUUAAGAGGCAAUCUUCACAAGCUACCUGCACCGGAGAGGUAAUGAGAAAUUAUGCCUCUCCUUUGAUUUGCAUUCUGGAGAUACCUUUCUCUUUUCAUCAAUUCUAAAAGGAUCUUAAGACUCUUCUUACAUAGGUAUCUAACUCAGGUUCCUAUUAGGCGACACAGAGAUUCCUGUAUCCUCAGUGCCUCCAGCUCAAGUCUUUUGCCCAUUCUUGUUUCCAUUCUGUGACAGAUACUGUAUGUAAGAAAGGUUACUGAAUCAUAAGCAUCCAGUCAUGGAGCUCUUUUUCUUCCUCUUUGAAGAAACCUAUUCUUUUUUCAACAGUUAUCCACACCCAUCACUUAAGCAUGAGCAAUUAGAUAGAUUCCACUAAAACCUGGUUUCAAAACUCCAAACUACAGCAUACCAUGCACAGUUUCCAGAAAUUCAUCCCACAUCCCAGCAACUGCAAGGUGCAAGACAUCUAAAUGAGGUCACGAAAAAAAGAUGGGAGAAAACAGGUAAGCUGGAAGCCUACAGACAACCUGUAUCCUAUUAAGAGUGGUAGGGGAGCGGGACAAAAGUUUAAGGCAGCGAAACUCAAAUACAUUGUUCAAUACCCAGUCAAGAUGCUUCCUUUUUUCUUUUUUCUAAGCAUGUAUAAUUUGCACAGCCCUUCUGUGCAACAGAAUGUCUUUCACAUGCACAUAAAGGAAAAAGUAUUGAACAAUGGAUAACACCACACACUUUACUCCCAUUAAAUACGCUGUGUGGCCUUUUAUUGCUGCUCUAUUCACAUAACUUGCUGGAUACAUCCAGGUACCUGACCUGGGAAGGUCAUUCCUACCAAGGAUAAUCACAUAAUACAUGCUAAACUGGUUUUCGGUUUCCAAACUCCUGAUUAAGUGUGCUUCAUUUCUUGAUUUCUCAGCUGUUUUUGUUUAACGCUGAAUAACACUGAAUAUUAUAACCCCAAGAACGUUGGGUCAGAGUUUUAAUUUAUGAGUUAAACAGCAGACUAAUGUAGAGUGGGCAGCAAAUUACAAUCACUCAAGAGUUUCUGCAACUUAAAAUGGACAUUAGCAGAUUAUUUACUGGACUUUGAGCCAAAUUUCGAAGAUUAGGCAGGUACUCAGAAGUUUGAAGAAAUAAAGCCAAAAUAUCUAUGUUGCAAAAGUUCACAAAAAGGGUUUGGGGCCACUUUUGCAAGUAACUGUAUGACCCCUCAGAGCUCUCUCUUCAGAGCCCUCACUCCCUUACCUGUCCUUGGCUUUCUUGCAGGUUGGGCUUUCUUGACUUUCCAACAGUUUGCCCAAGCAAGAGGAAACAGUUCUUUUUCUUCUUUCUGUACUGAAAUAAUUUUCCCCUAUCUUAUACACAUAACCUCAUUAACUUUUCCUUUCCAUCUUACUUCCUUUUUCUGUUUCACAAAUAUCUUUACAUUCCCUCUGAUUUUUGUUUUAUCUUACACAGUCAUUAGUUUAACAUGCCUUUAAAUAUGCUUCCAGAGAACGACUAUCAUUUUACCCUACACAAACACUAGUACUGAAAAAGAGCUUUCAUCUUCAAUGGCCUUGUAUUAUUCCCUUUUGAGAGAAAUGCCACCUUAGAGACUCAAACAUAUACAUUAAAAGAAAAAAAAAAAAAAAACCUGAAAACCACAAUUACUCCAUGAGAUAAUGUUUUAAGUUUCAGCUAGAACCUCUGACUUGCUUUACUGAUUAAAGUUCUAUUAGUAUUUCCCAUUAGCUGACAAAUUACAUUCUGGAGACAGAGGAGUCAUUACUGCAGAUGUAACAAAGCUUUUCUUCCUAUAUGCAGCACUGAUAACACUGCCAUUCAUAGAACGUAAAAGGCACACCUUUUAUUUUUAUCACCUCCUGUAAUUGCUGUGUAUGUGUCUAGACUUCUUUCAUAGCCAUUGGAAAUGGAACUAAUACAAUGAAUGUCAAAAAAGCACGCAGUUCUCUGACUGUAUAGAAAUCUUCUUUUAGAUGAGACAAGUUGCAUUCUGUACUUCACAACUGUUUUAAUUUGCAUUGACUCCAAGAAUCCUAGACAGCUAACUCAUACACGCUGCUUAGACAAGCCCCGCCCUGAAAGUCCAUGGAAUGGGAUAACUUCAAGGAGUUUUGUUUCCUAGGGUAUGAAGAUCAUUUCCAACAGCAGGAGUCCCAGUCAAAGCCAAAACUCUCAUCUCUUUCAGUGAAAUCAGGUCUAGGUCAAAUGGGGUAAUAAAGCAAAACAGAGCAACAGGCUCAGAAGGAAAUCACUGCUUUUUGACCUCGCGACUCUGAAAUGACACCAGCCUGACACACAGAAAGAAAGAGAGGGCUCUUCUGUCCUAAUUCAAUAUGAGAGUGAUUGAAAAUGACAGUCAAAGGCAAUGCCCUGUUUCAGUGCUACAAUUUCAUUCUGCCUUUGUACUUAGUUAUAAUUCUCCAUGCCUGAAAGCUACUUGCUAGCUUUCUGAAUGCUAAGACAUAUUUCAUGUUCUGAACUUGUACAUUAGCCUUUUGAAUUCAUACUCCAGUUUAAAUUUCCAUGUAUGUCAAACACAAGAUGUUAGGCACAUUCAGUACAGUUCUCUGCAUGCACAUACCCCUGCUCUGGCUUUCACUUUCUGACUGGGAAAUUGCCAUCUGCAGUAAAAGCCGUAUCUUCUAAAAGCAAUUUAUAGUUCCCUGGCCAUGUUCAGACAGUUUCCUUAGAGGACUCCAUCUGUUUUGAAGCUGUGAUACACUUUUUUCCUGAUGCUAUCGUUAUACUCAUUUUCCUAGCAAGUUCAUAAACUCUUUUAAGGUGUCCUUUCUAUCCCUUCUGUAGUCAGAAUCCUAUAUAACUCUCCAAGUUAUCAAAUGAUGGUCAUGUUGGUAAUUAAUAAAGGACUGGUUAAAAUUA